GACGAACGCUGGCGGCGUGCUUAACACAUGCAAGUCGAACGGAAAGGCCCUGCUUUUGUGGGGUGCUCGAGUGGCGAACGGGUGAGUAACACGUGAGUAACCUGCCCUUGACUUUGGGAUAACUUCAGGAAACUGGGACUAAUACCGGAUAGGAGCUCCUGCUGCAUGGUGGGGGUUGGAAAGUUUCGGCGGUUGGGGAUGGACUCGCGGCUUAUCAGCUUGUUGGUGAGGUAGUGACUUACCAAGGCUUUGACGGGUAGCCGGCCUGAGAGGGUGACCGGCCACAUGGGGACUGAGGUACGGCCCAGACGCCUACGGGAGGCAGCAGUGGGGAAUAUUGCACAAUGGGCGGAAGCCUGAUGCAGCAACGCCGCGUGCGGGAUGACGGCCUUCGGGUUGUAAACCGCUUUCGCCUGUGACGAAGCGUGAGUGACGGUAAUGGGUAAAGAAGCACCGGCUAACUACGUG
rnacentral:rRNA from 1 species